rnacentral:rRNA from 1 species
GGCGGGGGAGCACCACAACGGGUGGAGCGUGCGGUUUAAUUGGACUCAACGCCGGGCAGCUCACCGGAUAGGACAGCGGAAUGAUAGCCGGGCUGAAGACCUUGCUUGACCCAGCUGAGAGGAGGUGCAUGGCCGUCGUCAGUUCGUACUGUGAAGCAUCCUGUUUAGUCAGGCAACGAGCGAGACCCACGCCAACAGUUGCUAGCAUGUUCUCCGGAAUGAUGAGGACACUGUUGGGACCGCCUCUGCUAAAGAGGAGGAAGGAAUGGGCAACGGUAGGUCAGCAUGCCCCGAAUUAUCCGGGCUACACGCGGGCUACAAUGGUCAGGACAAUGGGAAACGGCACUGAAAAGUGUAGUCAAUCUCCUAAACCUGUCCCAAGUUCGGAUUGUGGGCUGCAACUCGCCCACAUGAAGCUGGAAUCCGUAGUAAUCGCGUUCAAAAUAGCGCGGGAAUAAGUCC